AAGAAAACUCAGGGAACAUGAGUCUGUGUCCAUAGAGAUUAUCCCACGUGGCAGCAUAAGGACAAACCAAUUAUGGGAAAUGUACAGAGCCUUGGAGAUACAGGGAAACAUUAAACUUACCGACGUGUGCAUAAGAGGGACAGGAGAAAACAAGAUAGGAAAGAAUUUGGAAACCCGAUGGCCAAAAAUUUCCCAGAUUUGAUGAAGAUCCAUCUACAUAUCCAUGGAGCUCUGCAAGCAAGGGCUGCUCUGGGCACUGGAGUAUAUCUAACAGCAUCCCGGUCUCAUCUGCCUCCAAACCAGCAGCACCACCACAGCCCAAGCCAAAAGUAACUCUAGAUGGCUCCAAAUGCCUUGUGGAGUCAAAAUCACCAACACUUGAGGCACACUGGGGUCGAUCAAAACUGACCCUGACCAUGAGUGGAGGGGUUGAUCUCUAAUAGGGGCGGACACAGUCUACACACUGCAAUUUUUCUUUUAAGGAGGGAGGUCACUGAGGGGACACCAGUGAGGGUAACUUUCUGACUUUUAGGUCAUUACCUGGGGCUGGUGGAGUCACCGGACAGAAUGUUGUUGAGGGUUCCAAAGAGGAAGGACAGUAUCAUGUAUUCAUUAUGCAAUCCAAGAAAGCAAAUUAUUUAAUGUAGUAGAAUUUUAUAACUUUAGCCAUAAAUUUAAAGACCAGAUAAACUCUGAGGUAUUUAUGUUUUAUCCUAGUCACUCAGAUCUCUGAGCAGGGUAGGAAUGCAUUCCAAUUGUGUUGUAAGAGUUAGGGCUUGCCAGCUGAUCAUAACAUACACAAAUGGAGCUAGUGGCUUUAGAAAGAAGGGAGUAUAGGGCUAAAAUACACCAUUUUAGACCCACUUCUGCAGGAGACUGUAGGGGGUUUAUCCUGAAUGAUGCUGACCCAAUCUGGGUGUGAAAUCUAGAAAGGAACAGGUAAACUAGGAAGCAGUAGUCUGAAGGAGGUGCUCUAAGUCACGAUAUAAUUAGUGCAAUUAUUGGUGAGUUCUUCAUUCAAGUCCCCUACCUGUGGGCCACUGUUCUCACCACUGUGAACACAGCCCUGAACACAAACCUCUACCUCUCUCAAGGGAUUUACAAUCAGGUCAGAAAUAUAGAUAAUAAACAUAUAUAUUUAUUACACCAGGGAGCAAUGAGUGCAAUAAUUAUUUGUUAGUUUGCUGGCCUCUCCUGGUCUGGGCCUGUCUGAAUAUCGUUCAGAUGAACCUUGAAAUCAACAUCACCAUGGGUGAUAGAAGCUGAGGUUGAGAGUAAGGAAAGGAACCAAAAGCUGAAAUUUUAAUGGAUGAAGAUGACUGAACCAGGAAGGAUGGUCAAGAGGGAGAGAGAAUCACUCUGUAGAGAAGACUGACUUGUUCUGAAGAUUGUUUGAUUUUCAUGAAGUUGAGCUUUAAGGGAGAAUGGGAAAUAGGUUGGAAGUAUCCAAGGAAGCACGGAAGGUGUGAGGAGGGAAAGGAAGAAGGAAUUGAUAGAAGUUUAUGCAUAUACUUAGUGAUAGAGUGAAUUUAAAAUUAGAGACACCUAUUACAUAAUUAUGAUACAUUUUAUAUAAUAUACACUUAAAUGUAAAUAUAUGAAUGGAUAUAUAUGCUUUAGCUUUUAAAUGAUCUGUGGCAUAUACAUAAUCAAAAAAAGGCAGGUGAAUAUAAAAUUGAAUAUUAUAAAUAAGAAUGCAAAUGUUAUCGAAUAUUACAGUGUGCAAAAUACCACAUUAUCUAACUGGAUGCAUAUAGAAUCAAUGUAAUGAGGAAAUGAAAUAAUGAAAAGAGCAGUCUUUCAACAGGCAUAGUCGGCUUCCUACUUCGGCUUUUUCCUUCUUCAGCCCUUUGGAGCCAAGAAGUGUGGAAUGUGGCUACAGAAGAGAAGAGAUGGUCUUCUGUCAAAUUGAAUUUCUCAAAAGUUGUUUUCAAGGAAGGAGACUGGAUCACCUGUGUUCACAUUUGUAGUUGUGUGGCAAUGCUCUUCAGAAUAAAUCAGGCAUACCAACUGCUGAGUCCAGAAGGUUCCUGUAAAAGAAAUAAUUUUAUUUUCAACAUGAAGAAGUUCUCAAAAUGUUCCAAACUAUAGCAUCAGUGUUUAAGUCAUGUAUAUUGUUAUUCAACUAGGGAUAAUGAUAAUGUUGUCUGCGUGGAUUCUUUAAGAUAUGUAAGGUUCAGUAAAGGUAAAAGACAAUAAAGACUGCUUUUGUUUCACUUUUAA